CAAAGGUUUGGUCCUGGCCUUGAGAUCAUUUAUUACCUAACACACACAUGCAAGUCUCCGCACCCCCGUGAAUAACGCCCUUACCCCCCUCCUAGGAAUAAGGAGCUGGCAUCAGGCACAAUAAACUGCCCAAAACGCCUAGCUACGCCACACCCACACGGGAUUUCAGCAGUGGUUAACAUUGAAUAUUAGCGACAGCUUGAUUCAGUCAAGGUAAAAAGAGCCGGCCAAUCUGGUGCCAGCCGCCGCGGCUACACCAUGUGGCUCAAAUUGACCUCCACCGGCGUAAAGCGUGAUUUAAGUGAUCUUAUCCAUUAUAGUUAAACCAGGACUAAGCCGUGAAACGCUUAUCCACAGGAAGCCCAGAAACGAAAGUUACUUUAAUUUCAUCCACUUGAACUCACGACAGCUGGGGCACAAACUGGGAUUAGAUACCCC
rnacentral:rRNA from 1 species